ACACAUUUACACUUGUUUCUUGUAUCUCUUAUGUGUACUAAUUCCUUUCUACCUCUAAAUCGAUGGAUUGAACCUCACUUGAGAUUAAUACCCCCCCUAAUCUAGAGAUAGAAAAGGGCUAGUACACCUUAGAAAGAGAUAACAUGUCCUUCUCUUGUUGCAGGUGUAUACUAGAGUACUCAAAACGUGUUGCAGGUGUAUGCUACAGUACCCAAAACAUUUGGUUGUUUCAAUACGAAGGCUAGCUAGAUAAGGCUUGAUUUGUUAUCGGAGGUACAUCCAAAGAUUCUCAUAGGAUGAAGCUCUCUACAUUCAUGCAUUUCAUGUCCUUGUAGCUUGCAUUUUAAACACUAGGCCAUAUUUUGUUGGUUGUAGCUGCAUCCAGACGCAGAGGUUUCCCAGUUGAAGAAGCAAGAGAAAAUAGAGACUCUUUGACAAAGAAGUUUGGCAAUAAAUCUGGAAAGGAUAUCCAGCUAAGGCAUGUGUUGUUUUCUGCUUCGACAUAAAAUUCUCAUCAUAUAUGAGUGGAUGCAUUUGAUAGGAAUUGCCAUUCCUAUCAGUGAUAUAAUAUGCAUUUUUUGACAACAUGUUAAUGAAAUUUUCUCUGAGUUCCUACCUUAUUAGAACAUAUCUAUUGUGUAGAAGCCCAAUUUCGCACUCUCCUUUGAUACCGCAGUAUUUUGGAAUUUUUUUUCUAUGUGCGGCUAUGUUGGGCCAUUCGUAAGAGAAGUUACCCACAAUUGCAUAUUGUAGGUUUUCAAGUAUGUUCAUUCA